GCUCGUGCUGAAGGCCUGUUUCCUAGGCUACAAACGAGGGACUAGUUCCUUAUUUACGCCUAGGGGAAAGUCCCCGGACCUAAGGCAGAGAGUGCCACGUGCGCCUGCACGUAGACUGUCCCUGCACCUCACGGUUAAUCCGCUAAGAAGCGAUUUCGCCGAGCGGCGUGUGGCAGGGAUGUCAUCCGUCAGCCAAAAUAGUUACACAGGCAGUGCGCUUCCGCGCACCAACCACACGGGGCUCAUUCUCAGCACGGC
ensembl:ribozyme RNase_MRP RNase MRP